rnacentral:rRNA from 1 species
GUCGUAACAAGGUUUCCGUAGGUGAACCUGCGGAAGGAUCAUUAAAGAGUAACAAGAGACGUAAAAUAUCUCUUGAAAACUCCCACCCUAUGUUAAUUAGCCGCGUUGCUUUGGCGGGAGAACCUGAGGAAGCUUUAAGCUGCCAUCAGCUAGUCUUCUGACUAGACCCGCCAAAGAAUCAAAACUCAAAAAUUGAAUUUCAAGUCUGAAAAUUUAUUCAAUAAAUAUAAAAACUUUCAACAACGGAUCUCUUGGUUCUGGCAUCGAUGAAGAACGCAGCGAAAUGCGAUAAGUAGUGUGAAUUGCAGAAUUCAGUGAAUCAUCGAAUCUUUGAACGCACAUUGCACCCGUCGGUAUUCCGGCGGGUAUACCUGUUCGAGCGUCAUAUCAAACCUCAAGCCCUUGCUUGGUUUUGGGUGAUGCCUUGUAAAAGGCAGACCUUGAAGAAAGAAACAACGGUAAAAACUGAAGACAUACCCCGAGUGUUGCGAAAUCAAUUCUCUCCGGGAUGUUAUCAUUUUGCUAGGGAGGGACAGAAAUCUCUCCAUCUUAGAAUAUAAUUUGACCUCGGAUCAGGUAGGGAUACCCGCUGAACUUAAGCAUAUCAAUAAGCGGAGGACAAGAAACCAACAGGGAUUGCCUUAGUAACGGCGAGUGAAGCGGCAAAAGCUCAGAUUUGAAAUCUGACUCUUACUAGAGUCUGAGUUGUAAUCUGCAGAGGAUGCUUCGGGGGUGAUAUCAGUCUAAGUUCCUUGGAACAGGACGUCAAAGAGGGUGAGAAUCCCGUCUAUAGCUGAUAUAUCUGCCUUCGCGUGAAGCUCCCUCGACGAGUCGAGUUGUUUGGGAAUGCAGCUCAAAAUAGGAGGUAAAUUUCUUCUAAAGCUAAAUAUUGGCCAGAGACCGAUAGCGCACAAGUAGAGUGAUCGAAAGAUGAAAAGCACUUUGGAAAGAGAGUUGAACAGCACGUGAAAUUGUUGAAAGGGAAGCGCUCACGAUUAGACUUGCUCAUAUGAAGCAUAGUAGCGCUUUGGGGCUACUAUUUAUUCAUUGUAGCAGGCCAGCGUUGGUUAUAGCGGUUAUAGGAGAAUUGAAGGUAUGUAACCCACUCUUCAGAGGGGGCAUUAUGGCCUUUGAUAUGAUAUGAUCAGCCUUGACCGAGGUCUGCACUCUUACGAGUUAGGACGCUGGCGUAAUAGUCGUGAGCGGCC